rnacentral:rRNA from 1 species
AUGCUUCACGAGGCCGAGAUAUUUCCAUUCUUCAUUCAUCGACAUCAGAUUGAACUGAGAAGUCAGUGCCAUAACAAACUUAUUCUUUGGGGAUCUUUGUAUGUAAAGUGUCUCAUUCAAGAAGGAAUGGUCUGGGUGGACGAGCUAGCCCGAGGCGUGGUCUUGCUCGCCAGCGUUGGGCGCAGUUCGGCUAGAAAGAAGAAGGAGCUCCAUCCAGCCUAUGAAGUUCAACCGGUGAGCAUGUGCAGUCCGACGGCGCGUGUGUGCUUGUGUCCGGUUCACGGGCGUACCGUGUGUGGUGCUUGCAUGCACACGGAACCCACAUGUGGUGUGAGGAGAAGCCAAGCUAAAAAGAAGAACACACUACGCAAGACAGGCACAGAGAGGUUCAGGGCUUCAGGCAAUGUGAUGGCGCAGCCGCUGCAGUAUCAACUACAACAGCUCGGCGCUCCUGGUGCUCCUCUCCCUUUGCUACUUUGCAUGCUGUGA